UGAUUUAGCUAGUUUGGGUAGGGGUAAAAAGGCCCUAACCAAGGGCAUCGAUCCAGUAGCUGGUUCUGAGGAGGGACGACCCAGGCCCACACCUGGGACUGAGACCACCGGUCUCUAGACACCCUACGGGGAGGGCGAGCCAGUGGGGGAAAUUUUGACCAAUGGGGCGCCAAGCCCUGAUUCCCAGCGAAUGCCCGCGUGAAGUGAAAAGAAAGCCUUUCGGGGUUUGUAAAAGCCUCUUUUGUUCCAGGGAAAGAAAGAAGGGCUUACGGUUAAUUACCCUGUGGGCUUCCAUGGACGGGUUACCCUGAAAGAAAUUAAGCCACCCGGUUAAACUUACGUGCCCAGCCAGCCCGCGGGUUAAUUACGUUAGGGGUGCCAAGCGUUUUUCGGAAAUUUACUGGGGCGUUAAAGCGUGCGCCGGGCGGGUUUUGUUAAGACUGUUCGAAAUUCCCCCGGGCCCCAACCUGGGAAAUGGCGAUGGUGACUGCGAAGGCUAGAGUU
rnacentral:rRNA from 1 species